rnacentral:rRNA from 1 species
CAGUAGCCGCGGUAAUACGUAGGGUGCAAGCGUUAAUCGGAAUUACUGGGCGUAAAGCGUGCGCAGGCGGCUAUGCAAGACAGAUGUGAAAUCCCCGGGCUCAACCUGGGAACUGCAUUUGUGACUGCAUGGCUAGAGUACGGUAGAGGGGGACGGAAUUCCGCGUGUAGCAGUGAAAUGCGUAGAUAUGCGGAGGAACACCGAUGGCGAAGGCAAUCCCCUGGACCUGUACUGACGCUCAUGCACGAAAGCGUGGGGAGCAAACAGGAUUAGAUACCCCUGUAGUCCCUGUCUCUUAUAA